GCACUGCUGAUGAGACCUAAUCAGGUCGAAACAGUUGUCCAGUGC
rfam:Echinostoma caproni strain Egypt genome assembly, scaffold: ECPE_scaffold0002016